CUUCUCUUUGAACUAGAUUUCCUGGAGCCUUUUCUUCCACUUGAACCAGUUGUACUGACUCCAGAUGUGACUGGAUGGGUUUGGGCAGAGUGAAUAGGCACAUGAUGCCCAGGAACCAAAGCAGGGAACCCAACAGCAGGGAUUCUGCAAAGCAACAAAGACCUGUACUAAUCAGCAUACCUAAAAGAUCAAACCACUAAAUGAAAGGCCCACUCGAGCACAUAACAAAAACCAUCAAAUGAUAACCGUUAACAAUGAAAUCCAUAGUUCAUUCCUAGGAAUUGGAAAACAUAACCAAACUCAUAACCAGGUAAGGGGUUCUGUUUUACCACAGUACACCAUCUGACCAAAAAGUUACCCGAAUAUCAGUAAGGAAACUUAACAAUCUCAAUAUAUGCAGCAUGCCUUUAAAGUUAAUCAAACAUGAUAAAUGCCAAAACUGUUGUCAUAAAACAUUACAGUCUUGAAAGCAUAUCUGCUGUCAAAACCCCAAGUAUAACUUCUACAUGUAUCCUGAAGAUCCAAUGUGAAAAUAAUCCAACAAGAGGCUCUAGACAACUUAAUAAUUAGAUUCACUCCCCUGUUUUCCUACCACUACAGAAGCAUAAAAUUUGCCACAGGUUAAAACCCUCAUCCCAAGAAAAAUUCGGCCAACAGAUUUUAUAAACAUGUACAGUAACAGUUACAAAGUUCUUCAACCAAACUUCAGAACAAAGAAAGAUUGAUGUGCGACCAAGAACAACAAGUUGAUUUUGUCAGUUGAUAAAAUCGUGAGGAUGCUAAACCUUUGAUUACAUGAAGAACAGCAUAUCUGUACACACGUGGACAUGAUUGCAUUUGAAUAACAAGAUAAAGCUUCAGCCAUAUACAAGCCAGUUAAAUUUUGAAACUACCAAAAUUAAGUGCAUUGAAGACAAUGCCACACUGAUGCUGUAUUAAUGGUGAAUUCAACUCCACAAUCAUAAAUAACUCCACAUUCCAAGAGCCAAGAAUAUGAGGGAAAGAUAAUUCAUGAAUCAUACCCAACAAGAGCACAGCAGACUCCUGCUUGGUCAAGGAUGCACCAUAUGCAUUGCCCUUUUGCAAACUAAAUCUAAGGGCUUGAUUUUCUGCAAGAACACAGUGAAGCAACCGACCGAGUUUCCUGCAUUCACUUUCCAAG
rnacentral:lncRNA from 1 species